GCACUUGCCUGCGGGGGAGAUACCAUGAUCACGAAGGUGGUUUUCCCAGGGCGAGGCUUAUCCAUUGCACUCUGGAUGUGCUGACCCCUGCGAUUUCCCCAAAUGCGGGAAAGUUGACUGAAUAAUUUGUGGUACAC
rnacentral:snRNA from 1 species